rnacentral:rRNA from 1 species
CUCCUACGGGAGGCAGCAAUUAGGAAUCUUGCGCAAUGGGCGAAAGCCUGACGCAGCGACGCCGCGUGGAGGAGGAAGGCCUUCGGGUUGUAAACUCCUUUUAGGUGGGAAGAAACAAAUGACGGUACCACCAGAAUAAGCCCCGGCUAACUCCGUGCCAGCAGCCGCGGUAAUUC